UUAGUGUUUUGAUGGGGAGAGGAGUACUUAAUGCAAACAAACAAUUCUCAGAAUGUUCUCUGCUUUAUAUAAUUUCUCUAGAAUUCUAACGCUUAUAAAAUAUAAUUAACUAUAGGUCGGCAUUUAUGUAAAUAUAAUUCUACAAAAAAAAUCCAUUGUUCAGAAUAUUAAAUUUCAAUACAUAGGCUGAUAUUGGAUUAAAAAAAACAAAACCCAGACUGUGAAUAGG